rnacentral:rRNA from 1 species
UCCUACGGGGGGCUGCAGUGGGGAAUAUUGCGCAAUGGGCGAAAGCCUGACGCAGCAACGCCGCGUGCGGGAUGAAGGCCUUCGGGUUGUAAACCGCUUUCAGCAGGGAAGAAGCCGCAAGGUGACGGUACCUGCAGAAGAAGCACCGGCUAACUACGUGCCAGCAGCCGCGGUAAUACGUAGGGUGCAAGCGUUGUCCGGAUUUAUUGGGCGUAAAGAGCUCGUAGGCGGUCUGUUACGUCGGGUGUGAAAACUCGGGGCUUAACCCCGAGCCUGCAUCCGAUACGGGCAGACUUGAGUGUGGUAGGGGAGACUGGAAUUCCUGGUGUAGCGGUGAAAUGCGCAGAUAUCAGGAGGAACACCGGUGGCGAAGGCGGGUCUCUGGGCCAUAACUGACGCUGAGGAGCGAAAGCGUGGGGAGCAAACAGGAUUAGAUACCCUGGUAGUCCACGCCGUAAACGGUGGGCGCUAGGUGUGGGGAACCUUCCACGUUCUCCGUGCCGCAGCUAACGCAUUAAGCGCCCCGCCUGGGGAGUACGGCCGCAAGGCUAAAACUCAAAUGAAUUGACGG